rnacentral:rRNA from 1 species
UACGGAGGGUGCAAGCGUUAUCCGGAUUCACUGGGUUUAAAGGGUGCGUAGGAGGGCAGGGAAGUCAAUGGUGAAAUCUCCGGGCUUAACUCGGAAACUGCCGUUGAUACUCUCUGUCUUGAAUCCCGUGGAGGUGAGCGGAAUAUGUCAUGUAGCGGUGAAAUGCUUAGAUAUGACAUAGAACACCAAUUGCGAAGGCAGCUCGCUACACGAAGAUUGACUCUGAGGCACGAAAGCGUGGGGAUCAAACAGG